rnacentral:lncRNA from 1 species
GCGCCCGCGGCUAAACUUCAACAACUGUGCGCGCUCCGGAGCGGCUGGUACUUAACGCCUGGCGUCUCGUCUCUGCUACAGAAGGAGUGCGAAUGUGCCCACCGAGCUGACGAAUGAAAUACGAUAAAGUGGGAAAUACUGUCUAUUUCUACGCCAUACGUUUACCCAUUUAACUGCAGCGAGCUGAAGGAUAUUUCGUCCGAGGUAAGCGGGUGUGCCGUGGCGAGUGAAACAUCGGAUUUUCGAGCGGAGUGUGUGUUGGGAAAAACAACAGCAAUGCUGUAGUAGCAGCAGCAGCAGCAGACAUUAGCUUCCUUCAGUAGCGCGCUGCUAAUGCUGCCCGUUAGCUUGGUCUGCUUGGCAGAAGCUGGUUAGCUGUGACGCCGGGUUGUUUUCUGUGGUGACGACUUAAAACGCACACUUGUGUGUGGAUUAGCAUUCCUGGUGAACAAAAGUGGCUGAACUUUACACAGAACGUUGAGGUAUCGGUUUUCAGCCUGUUCACACUCUUGCUAUGCUAUCAAGUACCCGAUUCAGCUAGCUACUAUGCUACGGGCUACAGCUGUACUGCAAGACAAGGCCCUGGAUGUCUUUAACAGUGGAUGCUAGCCGGGCUACGCCGUUGUCUGCCUCUUCAGACAAGGCCGUUUUUCUUUCAAAGCAGGUGAGCUGAGGUCAACAGAAACCCAUCGUGGCAUUGUUUUGUGUGGAAGUCUCACUGGCAGAACCUGGUUUGGUGACUGCUGGAAGGGAAGUGAUGACUAAUGUUUACCUAAAGAAACGAGUGUGUCUGCUGUCAUCGUUACUGUGUGUAACUGUUUGUGUGUUCGACCUGUCUCUAAGGAGAGGACGUGUGAAUGUCAGCUUUCGGUUGUUAAUGUGCAUUGAGUGGCUUUGGUAUCGUAGUUUCUGUGUCGUUAUUGCAGCGACCUAACAUAUUGCACGCUUGUCGAUGUGUUAUGAACCACGCUGCCACCCACUAAAGUCCUUCUAGUCUCAUAGUAUGACCUCAUAAAUGAGUAACUUAAGUGAAGACAGACUCAUUGAUCAUCACUUCUGUUGUCAUUCUUGGCGGGCAUGUCUUUGCCCAGGGUGAGGUAGUAUAAAUACAUGUCUAGAAAUCAUGUCAGUGCAUACAACUUGAUCUCAAAAUAGUGAUGUAGUAACAUUAAGUUUCCCAGGCCCAAAUAUGCAAAACAGUUCUUAUUAUGUCACACGAAGUGACACCAUGGUCAUCUAUGUCUGUUCAGGUGUAUGAGUGCUGUAACAUCAUGUGCACCGACUGUGGCUACUUGUCAGAUUUGUUGAUUUGACUUUCCUUUCCAUUUGUCUGUAGCUCUGUAAUGAUUGGGCAAAAGUUACCAGGAACAAAAAGUUUACAAUACUUUAGAUCUUGAAGCCAAAGCCUCUUUAGACCAAUUCACGUUCUACUGAGGAGACAUUGUGUUGUAAGUGUUAAUGUUGUCAUGAGACUGACAGUGAGCUUGUUUGCAAAUGUAAUGAAUGAACAGGAUGACUAAGAGAGAGGCAUGGUAUUGGUUUACAAAGCUGGAGUACUUAACACCAUAGAGUUUAAUCAUGAAGUUGUCUGGAAUCACAGAAUAGGGCCACACGAUAAUGGACAGAAUAAGUAAAAUCAAUAAUCAUGAUGAAUUUUGAGGUCUAGAGAUGUCUUUAAAUUUAGAGUGUAUUGUUUAUUGAAAAAGUCCAUAUACCUCGCAUCUCAUAGGGCUGGACAGGGACAAAACACUGGCUGACCCUGUCCCCUGGCAUUAGUGACAUACAGCAUCAAAGCUUUUCUUUCACAAGAGCGUUGCCUUAAUUUUUAUGAUAACAUAACUAAACAUGCACAUGAUCUAAAUUGAUACGGACCUAUUAACCACACACUGUUAAACCAGGCUUUUGCAGCCCAUUAAUGGUUUUCUAUAUAGCAGCUUCACUUAAUUUGCUCACUCUGUCCCUCUGCUUCACUAAAACACUCCUCCAGAUCCUCUCUCUCUUGGGCUGCGGUGAUGCAGAUGUUUUUCUGCACUACUAGUUUUGGAUUUUUAAGAUACACUUCAUCAUCAACAACCAAGAACUUUGUCUGUAAGCAGCUCACCUGUUGCUGUGAUGGGAUUGCAAGUGGAAACACAAGUUGUGUUUUGUGGAUGGCUUUAUAAAAUGACCUGCUGUUGAUAUUGUCAACAGAGAGAGCACAUACUGGUCAGGAAAACACAGAAGGAAAUAGGAUAAUCAGUCUGGAAAUUCUGCUUUCAAUUAAUGAUCAGCAUAAUUUUUAAAUGUCAAUAUCCCCAUUAAUCAAGUGUCUUUGAUUGUGGAAAGGCUAAAAUCUUGAUCCUGAUUGAAAUUUGAUUAAUUGUGCAGCCUAUCACACAGUAUCGAGGGUAUUCAGUUGUGAUUUCAACUGCCUGACUUCAGACUGACUGAAUAUCAUUAGAGCUGUGAGCCAUGCUACUGUAUGUGUGAAUUUGUGGUGCUGUAAAUAAACUACAAAGUACAGUACGACAUUAUUAGCGCCAAAGUCUCUGCGCUCCACAACUCAGUACAAUGAUCCACAUUUAAAAAUCGGCACUGCUCAGCUGUUCAACUCUCUCUUCAAGCUACUUGGUGGUUAGCCUCAAUUGGGUCUGUCUCUCUGUCCUGUCUCUCUCUUUCUAUCCAUCUCCCUCUCUUAGUCUUUCUCUCCAUCUUUCUCUCUCCCUUUCCCAACCCACGAUCAAUCAAAUUCCAUUAAAACAAACUAUAAUUCCAUAUCACAUGGACUGUACUGCUUUGACAGUAUGUGACAAAAAUGAGUCACGUACUGAAUUAUGUUUUCAAGUUUUUACCAUCCUCUAAAUUUGGCAGAAUGAAAUUCCAGUCCAGUUUUGCGGUAACUGUUUCAUAUGUGUUCAGCCUGUAGCUGUAGAAAUUCUUCAGUGUUGUGAGCAGGUGCCAUAUGCAUAUUUAAAUGUUUGAAGACGAGAUAAUUUCACAUCCCCUUUAAGCAUGAGCUACAUGAUAAAUGAUAAAGCUAUAAAUAAUAAUAUUUGUGUAUGUGUGUGAAGGGGGGCAUGAGGGUUUCCUCCUUUUUCAUGCCACACUAUCACACAUCCUUGAUUAGUGAUGGUCAUCUCAGGCAAAAAUAUCAUCUGAGCAACUGAACUCUGACAGUACAACUUCAGCAUUGGGACAAAGACACAGUCCCUGAGCACCUACACAUUUCACCCCAGAACAACUUGAUAUUGAUGUCCCAGUGUGUCAUUUCACUUUGCAUUACAAAAACGCAGCAAGAGUGCCACAUGUACACAUAGGCAUGCACAUGCAUGCUAUGGUGUCCCACGCGGUCAGCUUCGAUCGUCACCUUUCCCACGUUACACCUCUGCUACUACUUCCUAGAUGCAGAACGGCUUUGUCACACCACCAUGUGUCGGAGUGUUACACAUAGCAGAUGUGACGGCUACAACAGGACUGUAAAUAACCUGCUUUGAAAUGGGGGUACAUAAGAGCCUAUUUAAAGCUAUUGGACCACAAUUCAGUGACUUCCCUCCAACGCACACCGAAGCAGACAGAGAGACCCAUCUCCUCAUCUAGAGCUCUUGGCAGUUUUAUAUCAUGUAAACAUAUGUACCACAAAUCCCCUAAAAUCAUGGGAUACGAGUGAUUGUGUGUAACACAGACAAGCAUAACCUCACUCUGUGUAAAUCACAGCUCAUCAGCAUUGUCAUAUAGUUUCUCCAGUUUAGCCGUAACAGCUCCUCUGAAUAGGACAUAGGACUCUGGCUGAAUGAAAUCCUACUAUCUCUAAAAACCCUCACCUUCCACAAAGUUGAUAAGAGCAGGUUUGUUGCAAUGCGCACCCAGACAUCUGUGUAAAAAAAACUCUUCUUUUUUUAACAAUUUAUGACUAAUUGAAUGUUUUAAAAUCAUGAUGCAAAGCUAAAUUCCCUCACCGCAUGAAAGUGAAGUUUAUAGUGAUCUUAAAGUCUGCCAACUAAUUCUCUCAAAGCAGACUGAGUCAGUCAUUAAUGUGCGAUAUGCUUGAUGUAGUUUUCAAACAAUAGGUAAAGAAUCUGUAAGACUGACCUUUCCUAUUGGUUGCUGUGUUACCAGAAAUGGCAUAAAUUCAGCUUUUAAUCACGCCGAUGCAGAUCCAGUUAUCAUUUGUCACACAUUAGGAAGCUUGUUCACCGUAGUGAAUGAAAGAAAAUGAAUACGGUAAAUUACUGCUUUUUAUGACAGAUGUAGGCGUCUUUCCUUAAAAACAUCCAAAAAUGUACACUGAGGAAAGCCAUUAUGUUAUUAAGUUUGAUCCAUUUUCCCUUUAAGGCAAACUUUCUUUCUCCAAGCAGCAACUUGUUCAACUAGCACACUUUAUUAAAGAUUUAAACUCUAUUUUGCAAGAUACUGCCCAAAAAUAUCAGCCCUGUGCCUGUGCUGCAGCUACAGGGAGGUUGGUCAGAUGGAUGGUGUGUCUAAAAAGUGCAGGUCACCCCAGAGAACAUGGCGAGCUUUAAAACAGGUCCACGGUUGUUGAGCAAUAAUGUGGGUAAUGCUCUGGAUGUUUGGAUUGUUUUUCUUGGGUACUAGUUUAAAAAAAAAAAAGGUCUUAAGCCAUAACAAUAACACAGCAAUGUAGAACUGAUAUUGUGCUGUUGUCUUAGCUGUAUACUGUAUGUUUUGACAGAAACUGAUGAAAAAGUGAUACUUUUAGUAUUUAAACUUGGACACCUACCAGAUGUGAUAUAUUUGGGCUUUUAUUCCUGUGUGAGCUGUUACAAACUAGUGGUCUGUAAAUGAAAUUCCCACACAUCAUGGCCAGUUCUACUUUGAGCCAGACUUACCUCGAUCCCUUCUGUUGAUUCAGUCUCCUGUUUUCUGUCACUUUAAAUUUUACUUCUAAUUCUGCAUUGAGCCACAGAAGGAUUGACCAUAGAGCUUGUUGUUUUCCUGCAGGUCUCUGUUAUGAUGGAUUAAGUUUGAUGCCUCUUCUUUAACUGUCUGACUUUCUCCUGGUUAGAUAGCAUUGAGCAGUGGUUCUCAAGUCCGGUCCUUGAGGCCCACUGUCCUGCAUGUUUUGGAUGUUUCCCUGCUCCAACACACCUGAUUCAAAUGAUCAGCUCGUUAUUAAGCCAUUACAGAGCUUGAUAACGAGCUGAUCAUUUGAAUCAGGUGUGUUGGAGCAGGUACACAUCCAAAACAUGCAGGACAGUGAGCCUCGAGGACUGGACUUGAGAACCCCUGGCAAAGAGUACACCAAUUGGCUCACCAGCACAGGCCCCUGUCCAGUAGAUACUUCAGACGGACUAUUGUCAGUCUAUAGGGCGGAUAUAACCUCAGGGAAGUAGUUUACACAGGUUGCAACAGGUGCAACAGAUCUAACAGGUGAGUCAGGGUUGUCCAACCGUCAGCCUACUACCUCCCAUAGAAAUCUCAGCUUCAGGUGUGAUCAGUCAAAAACAAACAACCCAGAGGUAAGACAUUAGCUGGCUUCUUGUGUUUUUCUGCUGAACGUGCACAGCAAUUGCUGUCUAUAAUACAGCAACUGAGCUGAACUCAUUUUGACCCCAGGGUGCUUCGUGGCUUUUAGAGAGGCUUAGUUGUUUGGUAAUGUAGCCAGCAGGGUGCUUUUUCUAUGUGGACUGAUGUUAACAGCUGCCAAGAUGACAGGGAUUUAUGUCAUCGAGAGGAACGACUCAUCCUCAUGAAACCCUCACUCUACAAGAAAACAAAGACAGUUUCUUGACAUCAGGCUUUUGUUACUUUAUAAUGAUCCUUUUUUAAUCAGCUAAGACUGUCAAGCUUGAAUCUAAACAAGUGCCACAAGACUGUUUUUUCAGCAGCAGGUCAACAAUGUCUAAAUCCAUGCGCUUAAUCUUUCUUUUAUCUUCGCCUGUGUUGUUGCCCCUCCUUUCACGUGACGAGUGUUUGUACAUGUGUUGGUGUCACAUGCCUCUGUGUGAUGACACUGAAUAAAUUAUAAGCCUUCAGACUGUCAGGAUAGUUCAGAGGUGUGUGUAGUUUGCAUAAUAUCAGACAGGGUUGCAUACUUAAUGCAUUAUACAACAUAUAGGAUUUCAUAUCUCCAUCGCAUAUGAUACUCUUAAGAUAAAUGCACAUUUGAAGUGGAUGCGCAUUCUGGUUGUGUGUUUUUCCUUUUUUUUUUUUAAAUAGAUGAUAGUUGCUAGUCUGUUGACCGCUCAAAGUGUUCAAAUUAGGGCUGGGCAAUAAACCGAAAAUUUACCGAUACUGAAAGUUAUGACAAUAACCAAAAUCAUUUUGCCCAUAUCAGUAUAUUAGGUGUCAAAAAAUCAAAUCAAAUAAAAUUGGUUUUGGAUGUGUGUAGGUAGGCGAUGGUCUCAUGUCCCUUUUAGGAUACUGUCCUAAGUCAGAGUUGUGACUCCACCCCAUCCAGUCCAUAACAAAGAGGGAAAGACAAGUGAGGAGAUGGAGGAUGGUUCAAAAGUUGUAGCAGCUCGAGCAGCGGCUGAAGUAGACAAAGUUAAUGUGGGUGGGGGUGAGCAGCUUGUGGAGUAGUUAUUGUCCAUUUAUCGUAAUCGAUGUAAACUGAUCAAGAAAUCGGGACAUUGAUUUGAGGCCAUAUCGCCCAGCUCUAGCCAAGAGUUUAUGUUGCAGAGUUUCAUGCACCUGUUCCAGUACAUCCUUUUGAUGUUUAUUAAAAAAAAUAAAAAAACAUGUUUCUGGUGCAGCAUGUUAAGUCUUUUUAAUGAUCUAACCUGCCAGAGAGCUACAGUGGAGCUCCAAAUGUGAGAGACACAACCUUUAGCAUGAAAAAUGAAGCUUUUAUUACUACAAUAGGAUCAUCUGAUAUAAAUCCUCCCACUUUGCAACUCUUUGAACAGUGUGAUUUUUAUUUUCAUUUAAAUGGCGUGCAUAUCCAUCCGACUAAGACUUGCCUGGCUUUUUACAAUCCUGGCAAAACAUCUGCGGCACAUGCCAAGUGAAUAGAGCUCAGCUCUUCCUCAGAAGAAUGGCAGCUGUUCCAGCCGGCCUGAUGUAGGAGUGGAUUGUGUAUGUGUGUGUAUGUGUGUGCAUGUUUCUGCAUCAGUGAGAGACGGAGAGAGACAGCGUGACUCACAGACUCCGUAAAAGUGAGGUAAUUCUAGAUCUGCUCCUGAUGCCAGAGGGAGUCCCCGCUUGGUGUAUCAUUCUCUUUGUGUACGUCUGUGUGUCUAUGUGUAUUGAAUGACACACAUCUAUGUCUGCUAAUGAAACACGAGGUGUGUGUGCAGUCACUUCAGGUGAACACUCUGGUUAUAAUCUGCUCACCUGCACAGUAGUUAUUUUAGUUUCAGUGAAAAAGACAGUGACUACCCCAGGAAAAAAAACAUACAACAUUGCACUCUAAAGGACACACAGACAUGUUGUUGUUUUUGUUUCCUUAGGGAUUAAACUUUGUCAAAGCUGGCUGCUACCAACAUUCCCCGUGAUUGCUUUUUUUUUUUUUUUUUUUUUUUUUUUGCACAAUGAACCUUAGUUUAACACAUAAUCCACCUUUUUUUGGCUUGGAAGCUGGGUGUCAGUAACCCAGCAUUGCCUGGAGUUUGUACUUAAAGUGCAAUAAUAAUGAAAAGGAUAGGGGAAGCUUGCAAUUCACCCUGUAAAAAAAGCCUUCAGUAAGUCCCCCAUCUGCAGCACCUCUCACACGGGUAUAUUUGUCAUUUUAAUUUCAGAUAAUAAGUUCAUUUCGGGUCAUGCUAGACUCUGGCGUUUUCAUCUGACAGCACAUUGUAGUGCAGGCAGCAGUAAAGAGUAUAGAGCAGAAAAAGUCAGAUCACUGUAAACAAAGUCAUUGUCAACCCCCCACUCCCUCAGUGUCAGUGGAUUUUCUUGACUAUUAUUUGCUGCUUUCACACAUCAGCUCACCUUCUUUUUCUUCCAGAGGAAAAAGCUCAGACAAAGUAAGGGCUGAAAUUUUCAGUUAAAUCACUAUGCUAUUCCAUCGUUGACCUGUCAGUAAUCUAUCGUGAGUCAUAAUUCAGACUGAUACUUGUCAGAUACAAAUUUCUGCCCUACCUAAGACACGAAUCUUAAUAGUUUCAUCUAUCUCUACUAGUAAUUCAGGCUCCAUUCACAGUUGCCAAAGAAAAACUCCAGAAUUGGUUCAGCAGUGUGUAACUGAUUCAGGAAAGUGACACCUUUUAAGUGUGGUAUUUAUGUCACAGUAGCUUUGUCCUUACAUCAUUAAAAUCUACCAACAACUUCAGUCCUGUCGAAGGUUCUGAUAGUGGAUUAUCACCUAUGCUAACACAAAAGAAUACUUGUUGUUUAUAUGUGUGAUUAAUGUUGUUUUUUAGUCAUUGCCACAAUUCCAGGGCAAUGAUGCGUUAUUGGUAUGACAAAUUGACAUUUACACAGCCAAAGUGUGUUUGGUAUAAAUCAGUGUGUCCCCCCCCACACACACACACACACACACACUCACUCCCACUCCCUUUCUCUUUGUGAACCCCUCCUGGCUGUGGGUGAUGAAGUGAUUGGGUCCCUGUUGGUGAACUGCUGCCCGGUCCAGAUGGCUCAUUGUUGAAUCUGCAGCCCUGCCCCUUUAAUAACACACAUUUGACAUUGGCUAGUGUCACCACUUCUGUUUUAUAGCUCACCAUGUGUAUGUCUGUAACAGCGGGAUCUCUUUGUGUCCAUAUUCUUUGUGCUGCUGCAUUUCUGACUGCAUUAUGUUUAUAUUGUCUGGCGAUAAUCUGAGCAGAUGUGGUGAAACAGUAGGGAGGGGAGGGAGUACAUCAGUGUGUCUCCAGUCCUCUCUUUAAUGCUAACAAAAGUGAGGGCGCUCUCUCACUGGUAUUCUUGUUUGAACCUGUUUCUUUAAAAAAAAAAUUCAUUAUUAGCACCUGUUCAGGAAACACCAUGGUGCUGUCUGUUAUGAGAGUAUUUUAAAGGGAUAUUCUGGUGUAAAAUUAAGUUGGGGUCAAACACACCAUAACACUGAGUUAAACACCCCCACUUUAGAGAUGAAUGUUGCCAACUGCUUGCUUCUCUAGUUAAACCAACUUUAGUAACGACCGCACGAUAGCAAUACUCCGUGGUCUAGGUCUCCACGUGCAAACCUCAACCAAAAAGCCAUUCUAUAGCCACAAAUAAUGCUCAGAACAGCACCUAACUUCAUCAACAAUACAUAUAGGUUUGUGGGGGAGCCAAGAUGAGUCGAUCACC